GUGCGGUUAGUAUAGUGGUUAAUACGCCCGCUCCAGACAGUGCAGCUCCCGGGGGGCCCCCAAUUCUUGGAGUUGUCUGAGCGGGAGUCCCGGGUUCGAUUCCUGGACCGUGCA